UUUAGAAGUAGUUUGCCGAGGUGCAGUCGCACGAAUGGAUUUCAUCCUCACUGGUGUAUUUAAUAGUUUGUAAUCUACCAAACAGCAACUGCCAGAAGCCAGUCCCAGCUAACCUACUGGCGUGCACGAAAGAACCCAGCGAUGCUGAUCUCGUUUCGUUAUUUUUCUGACUUAAACGGUUAAAUCUAAACGCGAUUACUAAGAAAAAAAAUUUUAUACCUAUCAUUGUACACAGAAAAAAAAUAGAAAAAUGUUUAUAUAAGCGUAAAGCUGGUAGGACAGGAAAGGAAGCCGAAACAAAAAGUAAAGAAAAAUCCACAAGGACAACUUUUGGAGCUAGUGCCUGAGAUUUUGGAUUUCUGAGUCCCAGGAGGUGCUGAUAUCAUUUAUCUGCGGACUCGUAUUAUGAAGCGCAAGGUCCUAGAGCGUGUGAUUUUACAGGCAUAAGGAAUAUAAGAUGAAGGCUGAGACAAAAUAGGAUGGGUGGCCUAAUUUUCUUCCCCCACCCUCUCGUCCCUCCCAUACACAUACAACCUGACAACUAAAAGGGCCGCACUCCAUGGAAGAACUCCUGCAGAGUUGGACUCCCCACCGGCAAACAGGAGGAGGCUAUGAAGAAACUUGCCUGUCUCCGAUUUUCUUGGGAAUUGAAAAAAUAAAAUUUUUAAGCCUUUCAUGAAAAUUCCUAGCAAAAACUCACAUUCACAUGGAUUUGCACAAAGAUUCAUAUCACCUGUGAGACUCAUCCCACAAAAACUAGCCACACUGAAAAGAGAGAAAAAUGUAAAACCAAGAUAGAAAAAGGAUGGUAGUCUGCAGAUAUUGCAAUUAUCAGAAACAAGUAUAUUUAAAGAAAUGAAGGGAAAUGAAAAAAUUAUCAAAAAUAACUAAGCAGAUUAAAAGAAUAAUUUAGAAGUGAAAGCUAUCAUUAUCUUAGUACUUAGAACGUUGAUGGAAAUGUGUUUUUAUUAAAACAGAAGGGCUGAUCCAAGAUAGAAAAAUAUAAAUCCAAAGAAAUAGAAAAAAUUCUGAUAAGAGCAAAUAAUGAAAUAGUGAAAUAUACAAUAAAGAGAACCAAUAGACCAAAAAUUUGGGUGUUGGGAUAUGUAAAAGGUUUAGAAACUUUUGGAAAGAUUUGAUAUUGCCAGUUUUACCCAACUCUUCAAAAAAUUUAAAAUGGGUGGCAGGGGCAGGUCACAUCUCAUGAGACAAGCAUAAUGAUUAUACCCAAACUUGAAAAUACGUUGCAGGAAAUGAACAUUAUAGGUCAAACUCAUAAAAUUAGGUGCAAAAAUCGUAGACCUACAAGUGAUGUCUUUGUGGUGUGUGUGUGUGUGUGUGUCUGUGUGUGUGUGUGUGACGGAGAGAGAGAGAGAUACAACUGAAUUGGAUUUAAUAAAGGAAUGAAAGAUUUAGUUAGCAUUUAAAAAUAAACGUGUAAUUCU
rnacentral:lncRNA from 10 species